AUUGAACGCUGGCGGCAGGCUUAACACAUGCAAGUCGAACGAGUGGCGGACGGGUGAGUAAUGUCUGGGAAACUGCAUGAUGGAGGGGGCUAACUACUGGAAAAGGUAGCUAAUACCGCAUACCAUCAGAUGUGCCCAGAUGGGAUUAGCUAGUAGGUGGGGUAAUGGCUCACCUAGGCGACCAUCCCUAGCUGGUCUGAGAGGAAGACCAGCCAAACUGAAACUGAGACACUGUCCAGACUCCUAAGGGAGGCAGCAGUGGGGAAUAUUGAGCAAUGGGGGCAACCCGGACGCAGCAAUGCCGCGUGAAUGAAGAAGGCCUUCGGGUUGUAAAGUUCUUUCGGUAGCGAGGCGUUAACUACAGAAGAAGCACCGGAUAACUCCGUGCCAGCAGCCGCGGUAAUUC
rnacentral:rRNA from 1 species